rnacentral:lncRNA from 1 species
CCCCGAGGACAUGACCUUACACUAUCAUCCCCCGCCACGACCACUAUCCCUCCAACCGAUAUGGAGAAUAGUGACGCACACACGCACAACAGCGGAAUACGCAAAAAGUUGCAAACUAGAUAGCCACAGAGUAAACCUCACAUGGAAUGCUAGCUAAAAUACCCAAAAAGGUGUAAAAAGUAAUCAAGAGAGCGGGAGGUACCAACUCCCGGUGGAAAAACCUGAAAGUAAGCUUUGAUGCGCCCAAGGUCAACUGAUACCGACUCUUGCACGUUCCGACCGGUGUUGCUUAGCUCUUCACUCCCAAACGCCGCGAACUGGCCUCGCUGCCGCGACUAGUACCUAGUGCAAAUUUUCCUGAAGCUUAUCAGAACGUGUAGUUCUAUUGCGUCUUGCCGAAAGUCUAAACGUGUAGUCGCCGGAAGUACUGUAGCUUGCCGGAAAUCCUCGCCGGAAAAAUAGGGCACCU